rnacentral:rRNA from 1 species
AGUGAACGCUGGCGGCGUGCUAAUACAUGCAAGUCGAACGGAAUUUAAAAGAGCUUGCUCUUUUGAAUUUAGUGGCGCACGGGUGAGUAAUAUAUAGCUAAUCUGCCCCUUGCUGGAGGACAACAGUUAGAAAUGACUGCUAAUACUCCAUACUCCUUUUUACCAUAAGAUAAAUCGGGAAAGAAUUUCGGCAAGGGAUGAGACUAUAUCGUAUCAGCUAGUCGGUGGGGUAACGGCCUACCGAGGCUAUGACGCGUAACUGGUCUGAGAGGAUGAUCAGUCACAUUGGAACUGAGACACGGUCCAAACUCCUACGGGAGGCAGCAGUAGGGAAUAUUGCGCAAUGGGGGAAACCCUGACGCAGCAACGCCGCGUGGAGGAUGACACUUUUCGGAGCGUAAACUCCUUUUGUUAGGGAAGAAUAAUGACGGUACCUAACGAAUAAGCACCGGCUAA